CUGAAGGUUUGGUCCUGGCCUCAGUAUUAAUUUUAACCAAAUUUACACAUGCAAGUUUCCGCACUCCAGUGAGAACGCCCUAAUCAUGCCCUUAUUUGUUUAGGAGCUGGUAUCAGGCAUAUACAGUGUGUAUAACCCAUGACACCUCGCUUAACCACACCCCCAAGGGAAUUCAGCAGUGAUAGACAUUGAAUAAUAAGCGCAAGCUUGAAUCAGUUAAAGUUAAAAGAGUUGGUUAAUCUCGUGCCAGCCACCGCGGUUAUACGAGUAACUCACAUUAAUACUUCACGGCGUAAAGGGUGAUUAAAAGUUUCUAAAAAAUACUAGAGUUAUAACCUUAUAAAGCUGUCAUACGCACUUAUAAAAGGAAUAAUACACUGACGAAAGUGACUCUAAUGACAUAGAGCUUUUGACCUCACGACAGUUAAGACACAAACUAGGAUUAGAUACCCUACUAUGCUUAACCAUAAAUAGACCUUUAUCAUCACUUACUUUGGUUUAAGUCCGCCUGAGUACUACAAGCGCUAGCUUAAAACCCAAAGGACUUGGCGGUGCCCCAGACCCCCCUAGAGGAGCCUGUUCUAUAACCGAUAAUCCACGUUAAACCUUACCACUUCUUGCUCUUACCGCCUAUAUACCGCCGUCGUCAGCUCACCCCAUGAGGGUAUAAAAGUAAGCACAAUGGACUUCCUCCAAAACGUCAGGUCGAGGUGUAGCGAAUGAAGUGGAAAGAAAUGGGCUACAUUUUCUCUCAAGAAAACACGGACAGUAGAAUGAAAAAUCACUUAUAAGGUGGAUUUAGCAGUAAGAAAAACUUAGGAUAUUUUUCUGAAACCGGCUCUGAGGCGCGCACACACCGCCCGUCACUCUCCUCAACCUAAGCUACUCUAUUUUAUAAAUAAAUUUUUAUCACAAGAGGAGGCAAGUCGUAACAUGGUAAGUGUACUGGAAAGUGUACUUGGAAUAAU
rnacentral:ncRNA from 1 species